UCCUGAAAUUUUUCGAAACGUGUUGAAACGUUUACUACGUUUCAUUUUCGUUUUCUACGUUCAUGUUUCGAUUGAAUCACUUUAAUUUCUUUUCUUAAGAUAAUAGCAUUCGUUGUUUCUCAACUCGUUGAUCUUGUCGUUUCUAAUUUUUUGUAUGUUUAUAUUUUUGUAUUUCUUUAUUUCUUCUUCUUUCCCUUUCUCAUCCAUCGCCCGACAAAAAAUUAAACAGGACGACAGAGAGUUAUUCUCCCAAGUAAAAUGUGAAAUAUAUAAAUGUUGAGUUUCAGUUACCGAGACAAGAUAAACAUUUUUAAUAUACAAGAAUAUGGUGUAUCGUAAUAACGUGAAAAUGAAUGUAAGGAGUUUGUUUAUGAAAAAUAACAAGACGCAUGGACGUAGUAGAUUUUGGAUGAAAAGAAAAUCUAAAGGGAUGGACCAGACUGAGAGACGAGAACGAACAGAGAGAAGAAGGAACGCUUAUUGGACGUUAUUAAAUAUAAUGCCGCAAGGCAUGUCCCCCUUCGAAGAAACUUUUCCGAUAACUUCGUAAUUCCCUAAAAGGAUCCUCGUUCGAAGACUUUUAAGAUGUUCCUCUCUACUCUUCGCGAUAUUUCCCAUCGACUACGACCCGUUGCCCUUUCGAAGGGACUUCUCGUUCUCCGGAACAACGGGCUAUUAUGGGUUCUUUUUAUCGACGUCAAAUUCCAUUGACUUUUCACCCACAAAAGAAUGCUCAUCACGAUCACUUUUACCGAUUGAACAUAUUCGACUGACCCUAAAGAUUUUCAAAUAUUAAUCAAAUCUUUCUCUAGUUCUAGAAGAACGCGAUCUUAUUUUAUACACGUUUUAAACAAGUGACAUGUUUUUUUUUCUUUUUCUUUAUUUCCUUCUAAAUUUUUAAGACAGUUUUGAUAAUCGAAAGAAAAUUUUUGAAACUAAGAUUUGAAACGAUUUACAUGGUUCUAUCAGUGAUCCCUCAGGUGUUUAGAGCUUUUCAGUAUACUGCGGAGAAAGUUAGGAUGUUACCGGUGCGGUUAUUUCAUUACGAAGAUACGGACGUGGACUGUUGACAUGGUAUGGUACAGGUCCUGGUAAACGAGACAUCCGUAUUCAUGAUCGACGAGAUAGGAUGAGCGUGAUGUAAUCGUGCAAAUUCUUGCCGAGGGCGAAGCAAAUAUAGCAUUGUCCAACUACCUCGUCGGACAUGCUUGGAUUUACGGAUUCUAUGUUCGAAUGGUACUAUUUGGAUCCUGUAUAUCGUUUCUUUUUUCUUUUCUCUCUCUCUCUCUAUCUCUCUUUUUUUUUCAUUGAAAUUGUGUAUUUUUGACAGCAGGGCUAUUAAGAGUAUGAACUUGUUUAGGGACAUAACGUGUAUAUAUAUUAUUUAUAGUUUGAUAUUUGAUGAUUAAUUAGAAUAAAAUUUGUUGUUUAACUAAUUUUCAUUUUUGCGAUUACGAAUUAAAUAUAUAUUUCUUGGAAUUUUAUUUGACAAGUCCUACGUAAGCCGACGAUGAUUAUAUGAAGCAAUAAGAAUGUGAAAUACGGUGACUUCGAACAUCCUUUUUUUAUGGUUACUACUCCAACGUCGCAAAACUCCUUUUCUACAAAUUAUAUAGGUCGACGUAAAAAUUUCUCUUUCGUAGAAGUUAUGUCCAAGUAAGCUGAUAAAAAAUCGAUUUUACAGGUCGAAGAUACAAGUUUUCAACUUGUAAAAAUAAUUAUACUUCAUACAAAUAAGAAUGUUCAAUAUAACGUAUUCUUUUAUUUUUUGUUUUUUUUUUUAUAAAUAAUUGUGAAUUAUGCAUAUAGAAUAUACCUAAAAUUUAAGAAAAUUAUUAUAACAUCUUUAAAUAAUUAUUGAUUAAUUUUU